CAAACAGACUUUAUGAGUUCGGUAAAUGAAAUUACCGAAACUGAUCUGUAAUUCUCAAAAAUACUGACGAUUCGGUAAUGGAGCAGCUUUUGACAGUGCGUCAUAAGCAAAAUUACUGAAUUUCGGUAAGCUGUAGAAUAAAAUCACUGAAAAUUUUGUAAAUCUACGAUAUCACCGAAGUCUGUAAAAUAUUCCACUGACAAAUCGGUAAUCUAUGAGUGAAAUUACCGAGAGAUCAGGUCCGUUCGAAACGUCAAAACAACACUUCUGCAAUUCACCGGUGGAGUUUGAUUUCAUCUAUCAAAACAAAAGUUUCAAACAUUUGGAUUUAUUGCUGAUAUUACGUUAAGCACAUGUUCACACCCGUCUGCUGCCGCUGCUUUUUUGCAGCACUACACCAAAGGCUCACUAUUACUGCUUCAUCUUCUGCGUUUAAUCGAAACCGACGUAUGCAGCAGCGGCAUGUCAUUUCUCU